rnacentral:rRNA from 1 species
AUUGAACGCUGGCGGCAUGCCUUACACAUGCAAGUCGAACGGUAACAGGUCUUCGGAUGCUGACGAUUGGCGAACGGGUGAGUAAUACAUCGGAACGUGCCCGAGAGUGGGGGAUAACGAGGCGAAAGCUUUGCUAAUACCGCAUACGAUCUCAGGAUGAAAGCAGGGGACCGCAAGGCCUUGCGCUCACGGAGCGGCCGAUGGCAGAUUAGGUAGUUGGUGGGAUAAAAGCUUACCAAGCCGACGAUCUGUAGCUGGUCUGAGAGGACGACCAGCCACGCUGGGACUGAGACACGGCCCAGACUCCUACGGGAGGCAGCAGUGGGGAAUUUUGGACAAUGGGCGCAAGCCUGAUCCAGCCAUGCCGCGUGCAGGAUGAAGGCCUUCGGGUUGUAAACUGCUUUUGUACGGAACGAAAAGACUCUGGUUAAUACCUGGGGUCCAUGACGGUACCGUAAGAAUAAGCACCGGCUAACUACGUGCCAGCCGCCGCGGUAAGAC